rnacentral:rRNA from 1 species
UGGGGAAUUUUGGACAAUGGGGGAAACCCUGAUCCAGCCAUCCCGCGUGUGCGAUGAAGGCCUUCGGGUUGUAAAGCACUUUUGGCAGGAAAGAAACGUCGCGGGUUAAUACCCCGCGAAACUGACGGUACCUGCAGAAUAAGCACCGGCUAACUACGUGCCAGCAGCCGCGGUAAUACGUAGGGUGCAAGCGUUAAUCGGAAUUACUGGGCGUAAAGCGUGCGCAGGCGGUUCGGAAAGAAAGAUGUGAAAUCCCAGAGCUUAACUUUGGAACUGCAUUUUUAACUACCGGGCUAGAGUGUGUCAGAGGGAGGUGGAAUUCCGCGUGUAGCAGUGAAAUGCGUAGAUAUGCGGAGGAACACCGAUGGCGAAGGCAGCCUCCUGGGAUAACACUGACGCUCAUGCACGAAAGCGUGGGGAGCAAAGCAGGAUUAGAUACCCUGGUAGUCCACGCCCUAAACGAUGUCAACUAGCUGUUGGGGCCUUCGGGCCUUGGUAGCGCAGCUAACGCGUGAAGUUGACCGCCUGGGGAG